UUGGAGGGCAAGUCUGGUGCCAGCAGCCGCGGUAAUUCCAGCUCCAGUAGCGUAUAUUAAAGUUGUUGCAGUUAAAAAGCUCGUAGUUGAAUUUCGGGGUCAGUAGGUUGGUCAUGCCACUGGUAUGUACUGGUCUCACUGAUUCCUCCUUCCUGAUGAGCCGUAAUGCCAUUAAUUUGGUGUUGCGAGGAAUCUGGACUGUUACUUUGAAAAAAUUAGAGUGUUUAAAGCAAGCUAACGCUUGAAUACAUUAGCAUGGAAUAAUGAAAUAGGACGUUCGAUCCUAUUUUGUUGGUUUCUAGGAUUGACGUAAUGAUUAAUAGGGAUAGUUGGGGGCAUUAGUAUUCAAUUGUCAGAGGUGAAAUUCUUGGAUUCAUUGAAGACUAACUACUGCGAAAGCAUUUGCCAAGGAUGUUUUCAUUAAUCAAGAACGAAAGUUAGGGGAUCGAAGACGAUCAGAUACCGUCGUAGUCUUAACCAUAAACUAUGCCGACUAGGGAUCGGAUGAUGUUAAUUUUUUAAUGACUCAUUCGGCGCCUUACGGGAAACCAAAGUGUUUGGGUUC
rnacentral:rRNA from 1 species